UAAUUCAUAUGUUAAUUGAGGAACAAUUUCAGGCUGGUCAUAUAGAAUCAACGCUUAGUCCUUGGAACACCCCCAUUUUUGUUAUUAAGAAGAACUCAGGUUAUUGGAGGUUGCUACAGGAUUUAAGGACAAUAAACCAUGCAAUUCAGCCUAUGGGAUCAUUGCAGCCAGACUCUCUUCCCCCAUGGCAAUUCCUUUAAAUUAUAACUUAAUGGUAAUAGAUCUAAAAGAUUGUUUUUUUCUCAAUAAGGUUGCAUCCUGAGGAUUAUGAAAAAUUUGCUUUCAC
rnacentral:sRNA from 1 species